AUGGAAAUUUUGGGUCCAGAGAGAGUAGGCAUGUUGAAUUUGGGUUCUUUGAGUUUUGCAUUUGGUCCCUCAAUGUCAACAUAUGGUCCUUUGAUGUCUACUUCAGGUGCUUUCACAUCAAUAUUUGCUUUUGGCAGGUUGACAUCAACAUCGGGACCUUCUAGUUUCGGGCUUUUAAUUCCAAAUGUUGGCAUUUUAAUUUUGGGCAUUUUAAAGCCACCUUUGUGUCCUUCAAUGUCCAAAUCUGAGCCUUCAAUGUCCAAAUCUGGUCCUUCAAUAUCUGCUCUUGGAGCUGUUAUAUCUCCUUUCAUUUUUGGCAAAUUAACAUCCAUGUCACCCUCAAGUUUAGGGCCUUUCAGGUUAAUGUCAACAUCUGGACUUCCAAACUUUGGACCUUUAAUGUUCAGUGAUGGCAUUUUGAUUGAAGGCAUUUCAAAACCACCUUUCGGCCCUUCAAUAUCAACUUUUGGAGCCUUUAUGUCAAUGUCAGAUGCUUUUAUAUCACCUUCAAUCUUUGGUGCUGAAACAUCAAUGUCACCUUUUAGUUUUGGGCCUUUCAGGUUGAAGUCCACAUCUGGCAUGGAGAUUUUUGGUCCAGACAUAGUUGGCAUGUUGAAUUUGGGUCCUUUUAGUUUUGCAUUUGGCCCUUCAAUAUCAACAACUGGUCCUUUGAUAUCAACUUCAGGUGCUUUCAUGUCAAUAUUUGCUUUUGGCAGGUUUACAUCAACGUCUGGACCUUCAAUUUUUGGACCUUUUAUUCCUAUUUUUGGCAUGGUAAAUCCUCCUUUGUGUCCUUUAAUGUCCAAAUCAGGCCCUUCAAUGUCUAUAUUUGGAGCUUUAAUAUUUUCUUUGACUUUUGGCAAAAUAAUACCCAUGCCACCCUCAAGUUUAGGUUCUUUCAGGUUAAUGUCAACAUCUGGACUUCCGAACUUAGGACCUUUAAUGUUCACUGAUGGCAUUUUGAUUGAAGGCCCUUCAAAACCACCUUUUUGCCCUUCAAUAUCAACUUUUGGUCCCAUUAUAUGCAGGUCAGAUGUCUUCAUUUCACCUUCAAUACUUGGUACUGAAACAUCCAUAUCACCCUUUAGUUUGGGGCCUUUCAAGUUGAAGUCAACAUCUGGCAUGGACAUUUUGGGUCCGGAGAGAGUAGGCAUGUUGAAUUUGGGUCCUUUGAGUUUUGCAUUUGGUCCCUCAAUGUCAACAUCUGGUCCUUUAAUGUUCAGUGAUGGCAUUUUGAUUGAAGGCAUUUCAAAACCACCUUUCGGCCCUUCAAUACCAACUUUUGGGCCCUUGAUGUGA
rnacentral:lncRNA from 1 species